AUACGGAGGGAGCCAGCGUUGUCCGGAAUCACUGGGCGUAAAGGGCGUGUAGGCGGGCUGGCAAGUCAGAUGUGAAAUUCCACGGCUUAACCGUGGAGGGUCAUCUGAAACUGCCGGUCUUGAGUUCGGGAGAGGGUGGUGGAAUUCCCGGUGUAGCGGUGAAAUGCGUAGAUAUCGGGAAGAACACCGGUGGCGAAGGCGGCUUCCUGGACUGUCCCUGACGCUGAGGAACGAAAGCGCGGGUAGCAAACAGGAUUAGAAACCCUAGUAGUCC
rnacentral:rRNA from 1 species